UACGGGGGGUGCGAGCGUUGUCCGGAAUCACUGGGCGUAAAGGGCGCGUAGGUGGCCUGAUAAGGGUGUGGUGAAAGUCCGGGGCUCAACCCCGGAUCUGCCGUGCCGACUGUCAGGCUGGAGUACUGUAGGGGCAGGCGGAAUUCCGGGUGUAGCGGUGGAAUGCGUAGAGAUCCGGAGGAAGACCGGUGGCGAAGGCGGCCUGCUGGGCAGUUACUGACACUGAGGCGCGACAGCGUGGGGAGCAAACAGG
rnacentral:rRNA from 1 species